CUCAGUCCAACUUCUCAAAAUGAGGCUCCCUGCUCAGCUCCUGGGGCUGCUGGUGCUCUGGGUCCCUGGAUCCAGUGGUGAUGUUGUGAUGACCCAGACUCCCCUGUCCCUGCCUGUCACCCCUGGAGAGUCGGUCUCCAUCACCUGCAGGGCUAGUCAGAGCCUCCAAGACAGUGAUGGAAACACCUAUUUGAAUUGGUUCCUGCAGAAGCAAGGCCAACCUCCAAGGCGCCUGAUUCAUAAGUGGGGAUGCUGUGAUGACCCAGACACCACAGUCCCUGCUGGUCACCCCUGGGGAGCCGCCUCCAUCUCCUGCAGCGCUGGUCAGAGCCUCCUGCAUAGCGAUGGAAACACCUAUUGGAAUUGA